rnacentral:rRNA from 1 species
UACGUAGGUGGCAAGCGUUAUCCGGAAUUAUUGGGCGUAAAGAGCGCGCAGGUGGUUGAUUAAGUCUGAUGUGAAAGCCCACGGCUUAACCGUGGAGGGUCAUUGGAAACUGGUCGACUUGAGUGCAGAAGAGGGAAGUGGAAUUCCAUGUGUAGCGGUGAAAUGCGUAGAGAUAUGGAGGAACACCAGUGGCGAAGGCGGCUUCCUGGUCUGUAACUGACACUGAGGCGCGAAAGCGUGGGGAGCAAACCGGAUUAGAUACCCCGGUA